ACGCUAGCGGGAGGCCUAACACAUGCAAGCCGAGCGGUAGAGAUUCUUCGGAAUCUUGAGAGCGGCGUACGGGUGCGGAACACGUGUGCAACCUACCUUUAUCAGGGGGAUAGCCUUUCGAAAGGAAGAUUAAUACCCCAUAAUAUAUUUGAUGGCAUCAUUAGAUAUUGAAAACUCCGGUGGAUAGAGAUGGGCACGCGCAAGAUUAGAUAGUUGGUGAGGUAACGGCUCACCAAGUCCAUGAUCUUUAGGGGGCCUGAGAGGGUGAUCCCCCACACUGGUACUGAGACACGGACCAGACUCCUACGGGAGGCAGCAGUGAGGAAUAUUGGACAAUGGGUGAGAGCCUGAUCCAGCCAUCCCGCGUGAAGGACGACGGCCCUAUGGGUUGUAAACUUCUUUUGUAUAGGGAUAAACCUUUCCACGUGUGGAAAGCUGAAGGUACUAUACGAAUAAGCACCGGCUAACUCCGUGCCAGCAGCCGCGGUAAUACGGAGGGUGCAAGCGUUAUCCGGAUUUAUUGGGUUUAAAGGGUCCGUAGGCGGACUCGUAAGUCAGUGGUGAAAUCUCAUAGCUUAACUAUGAAACUGCCAUUGAUACUGCGGGUCUUGAGUAAGGUAGAGGUAGCUGGAAUAAGUAGUGUAGCGGUGAAAUGCAUAGAUAUUACUUAGAACACCAAUUGCGAAGGCAGGUUACCAUGUCUUAACUGACGCUGAUGGACGAAAGCGUGGGGAGCGAAAC
rnacentral:rRNA from 1 species